rnacentral:rRNA from 1 species
UAUGUUCUUCGUGAACACGGCGUACUGCUCAGUAACACGUGGAUAACCUGCCCUUGGGUCCGGCAUAACCCCGGGAAACUGGGGAUAAUUCCGGAUAACGCACAUAUGCUGGAAUGCUUUAUGCGUCAAAUGGAUUCGUCUGCCCAAGGAUGGGUCUGCGGCCUAUCAGGUAGUAGUGGGUGUAAUGUACCUACUAGCCGACGACGGGUACGGGUUGUGAGAGCAAGAGCCCGGAGAUGGAUUCUGAGACAUGAAUCCAGGCCCUACGGGGCGCAGCAGGCGCGAAAACUUUACAAUGCGGGAAACCGUGAUAAGGGGACACCGAGUGCCAGCAUCAUAUGCUGGCUGUCCGGGUGUGUAAAAUACACCUGUUAGCAAGGGCCGGGCAAGACCGGUGCCAGCCGCCGCGGUAACACCGGCGGCCCGAGUGGUGAUCGUGAUUAUUGGGUCUAAAGGGUCCGUAGCCGGUUUGGUCAGUCCUCCGGGAAAUCUGACGGCUUAACCGUUAGGCUUUCGGAGGAUACUGCCAGGCUUGGAACCGGGAGAGGUAAGAGGUACUACAGGGGUAGGAGUGAAAUCUUGUAAUCCCUGUGGGACCACCUGUGGCGAAGGCGUCUUACCAGAACGGGUUCGACGGUGAGGGAC